rnacentral:lncRNA from 1 species
UGGACACUUUACAAUGGGACCUGGAUGCCGGGCCUGAACAAGCUGGCUGUCCCCAGAGCUCAUGACAUUUGAUCUUCAACCCAAGGACAGCCCAUGCUUCCUGUGGUUGCUGUCUUUUGGUUUGUCGGUGCCUCUGUCCCCUGUUGGGCUCCUUGGAGGGAGCUUGCUUGCAAGCAGACGGAUGGAAGCCCACCUGACCUGUCUAGCUGUGGCCACUUCCUCCUUCCCAGCUCAGCCUUUGCUGUGAGAGCUCGGAGUGAAUGCCUUUGAGACCAAACAACAGGAAACCACGAAGCAGGGUGAGUCUGAGGACAGGAA